GACAGAGGUGCCAAGCGUUAGGCGGAAUCACUGGGCUUAAAGCGUGUGUAGGCGGAUCGUUAAGUGCCUUGUGAAAUCCCACGGCUUAACCGUGGAACUGCUCGGCAUACUGGCGGUCUUGAGCAACCUAGGGGCGAGCGGAACAAAUGGUGGAGCGGUGAAAUGCGUAGAGUAUCAUUUGGAACGCCAAUGGUGAAAACAGCUCGCUGGGGGUUUGCUGACGCUGAGACGACGAAAGCCAGGGGAGCGGAACGGG
rnacentral:rRNA from 1 species